GACAGAGGGGGCAAGCGUUGUCCGGAUUUACUGGGCGUAAAGGGCGUGCAGGCGGUUUGUUAAGUGCAGGGUGAAAGCUCCCGGCUCAACUGGGAGAGGUCCUUGCAUACUGGCGAACUCGAGGGAGGCAGAGGAAAGUGGAAUUCCCGGUGUAGUGGUGAUAUGCGUAGAUAUCGGGAGGAACACCUGUGGCGAAGGCGGCUUUCUGGGCCUUACCUGACGCUGAGACGCGAAAGCGUGGGGAGCGAACCGG
rnacentral:rRNA from 1 species